rnacentral:rRNA from 1 species
UACGGGGGGGGCAAGCGUUGUUCGGAAUUACUGGGCGUAAAGGGCUCGUAGGCGGCCAACUAAGUCAGUUGUGAAAUCCCUCGGCUUAACCGGGGAAUUGCGUCUGAUACUGGAUGGCUUGAGUUUGGGAGAGGGAUGCGGAAUUCCAGGUGUAGCGGUGAAAUGCGUAGAUAUCUGGAGGAACACCGGUGGCGAAGGCGGCAUCCUGGACCAACACUGACGCUGAGGAGCGAAAGCCAGGGGAGCAAACGGG